GACGAACGCUGGCGGCGUGCCUAAUACAUGCAAGUCGAACGCUUCUUUCCUCCCGAGUGCUUGCACUCAAUUGGAAAGAGGAGUGGCGGACGGGUGAGUAACACGUGGGUAACCUACCCAUCAGAGGGGGAUAACACUUGGAAACAGGUGCUAAUACCGCAUAACAGUUUAUGCCGCAUGGCAUAAGAGUGAAAGGCGCUUUCGGGUGUCGCUGAUGGAUGGACCCGCGGUGCAUUAGCUAGUUGGUGAGGUAACGGCUCACCAAGGCCACGAUGCAUAGCCGACCUGAGAGGGUGAUCGGCCACACUGGGACUGAGACACGGCCCAGACUCCUACGGGAGGCAGCAGUAGGGAAUCUUCGGCAAUGGACGAAAGUCUGACCGAGCAACGCCGCGUGAGUGAAGAAGGUUUUCGGAUCGUAAAACUCUGUUGUUAGAGAAGAACAAGGACGUUAGUAACUGAACGUCCCCUGACGGUAUCUAACCAGAAAGCCACGGCUAACUACGUGC
rnacentral:rRNA from 1 species